rnacentral:lncRNA from 1 species
UUAUAUCAUUCUUUCCCAUUCUUAGAAUGGUGAUUACCCUCUAUAUAUACUCUGUACAUGAACGAAUGAAAGGAUGAAUGAAAAAACUACCAUUUAUCAAUUUGAAGAUGGUAUCAGAGCCAUGGAAUUGAAAUCCUGGAUAUUUUGUCGCUAUGGUAGUCCGACAGCAAUCAACCAUCCUAAGAUAAGCCCUAAUAUUGAUAAGUCAACCUUCAAAUGCACUCACUACAAUAAGACUGAUCCCACCAGUCUGGAUAUCCCACAAUUUCAAAACAAUGACUCUUGGUAUGACCAGGAAAACAAUGAGAAACCGAGGGUUUGAACCAUGGACCUUUAGAUCAUGUUUAGGCUAUCACCACUUUGUUAUUAAUGAUAAUAAUCGUGAUUAACGGAAGAAGGAUUCCAAGAAAACCUCGACUGCAACUAUUGCUGAAAUAAAAACAAAGGCUAAUGUUGCUGAAAAAGCCUCUGCAUUGGUAUCCGUUACAGAUCAUGGUGGUAAGUUUUUAAAUACUUUUACACCUGUUAUUAAUAGUGUAUGGAUAAUUGAUUCUGGUGCUACAGAUCAUAUGACUUUUGAUUCUAGACAGGUUUCACCUCUUAGCCCUUCCUCACAAAAAAUUGUUUCCACAGCCAAUGGUAACACAACUCCAGUCAUUGGGGAAGGAUCCUUAACUCUUACUGAUACUUUGAAUUUGGAUUUUGUUUUAGUUGUUCCAUCUCUAAAUUACAAUCUUUUGUCAGUUUCUCAAAUCACUGCAGCCUUAUCUUGUAUUGUCAUUUUUUCGUCUAAAUUUUGUGUGAUUAAGGACAUCCAAACAAGAUAGACGAUUGGUUGUGGUAUUAAGCGGGGAAAACUCUAUUAGUUGGACUUGCAGUCAAAGGAUUCAAAUAAGUUGCAACAAGCCUUGAUGGCAGAUGGAUCUGAGGAGGAGAAGAAAAAGUCUGAAAUUUGGUUAUGGCAUCGACGUCUGGGACAUGCUUCCUUUGGUUAUUUAAAAAAAUUGUUUCCUAGUUUGUUUGCAAAGAGUGAUAUUUCUGGUUUCCGUUGUGAUAUUUGUGAAUUAGCUAAAAGCUAUCAUGCUUCGUUUCCGUUAAUUUUGAAUAAAAGUCUGCUUUCUUUUAUGGUUAUACAUUCAGACAGGUUUCAACCCUUAGCUCUUCCUCACAAAAAAUUGUUUCCAUAGCCAAUGGUAACACAACCCUAGUCAUUGGGGAAGGAUCCUUAACUCUUACUGAUACUUUGAAUUUGGAUUCUGUUUUAGUUGUUCCAUCUCUAUAUUACAAUCUUUUGUCAGUUUCUCAAAUCACUACAGCCUUAUCUUGUAUUGUCAUUUUUUCGCCUAAAUUUUGUGUGAUUAAGGACAUCCAAACAAGACAGACGAUUGGUUGUGGUAUUAAGCGGGGAAAACUCUAUUACUUGGACUUGUAGUCAAAGGAUUCAAAUAAAUUGCAACAAGCCUUGAUGGCAGAUGGAUCUGAGGAGGAGAAGAAAAAGUCUGAAAUUUGGUUGUGGCAUC